CAAAGGAAGAACAAAGAAAGAAAAGAACGAACACAAUGCCUAGGUGGGAAAAUUGAAGAAAAAGUGUGGGAUUUCAAGGGAUUAAGCUAAUAAAGGUAAAAUUUUGUGAUUUUAUCUUGUGAUUUACACUACCCAUGCUUUCUUUUUCAUUUUCCAUGCUUAGAACUCAAGUUUGCAUGAUGAACCAAUGCUGGCCAAAUUUGAGAGGAGAGGUUUUGAGCAUUGAUUUUGCUAGAUUUCAUGCUAAUUAAGUGUUUUUGGUUGUUUGGUAAUGGAAAGUAUGAAAAUCUAGCAAGGAAUCACUUUGUUCUUCACAAACCCACAAGAUGCUGAAUUUUCUAGGGAGGAUAUUGAGGCUGAAAUUGAUGAUAUUUCAUGAUAUUUUGGUGGUAUUUAAUGAUUGGUGAGGCUAGAAAUUUAAUGGAAAAUUUUGGCAUGAAAAUAUGAAUUUUUACCUAAUGUAUAGACAUGUGCGAUUUAUGGUUCAAACUUAUAAAUUGAAUCAUAUUCACAGUCAUUGAGGUAUUUUAAGUAUAAUUGGAGUGUAGAAAGUGAAAGAAAUCGAUUUUGAGUUAAAUUGGAGGUUUUAGCCAAUUUUACCGAGAAUAGUGCGAAUUAGGUUGAAUACCAUAUUUAAACGGCUAUUCGGACAUUUUGCAUCACAUUUUCUGCAUUCAUAUAGAUUUAUAGAGCCCAAAAUAGUUUAUGAUAAAUUGAAACAAAUUAUUAAAAUUCGUGUCAUGAAUGAUGUUAGGUGGUGAAUCCUCCACUAAGGGCAAAGAAAUUAUACCCGAGGAUCGAUAGUCAAAGUACUCUAGAAAUUCGACUCCCGAAAUAGUGAGUAACCUUAUCAUCAUUUUAAUUAUCUAAAGUGGUCUUUUUAUUCGAUUUUGUGAAUUUUAUGGAAAAUGAAUUAAAUGAUUAAUUUUUCAAUUUUAUAAAUAAAAUGUGAUUUAAUGAAAUGAUUUCAUAAAAUUGUCUUGAAAUUGAAUGAUGGCUUUGAAAAUAGAGUAACUGGAGACCACUUGAUGUGUUGUAAUUUAUGGUUUUAAUUGAUGGCUUAUGAUUAUGUGUUGGCAUGACUGGCUGGAAUUGUGGUUUGUGAACUGUAUGAAUUGUUCUGUUUUACAUUUACAGGCUGGGUAGUAUAAUAUUAGUCAUGUUAUGCUGUCAAAAUUUUAUUAUAUGGUGGGUUUAGCUUGCUGCAGUGGGCGAGUUCUGUGGACUAGCCUUUUUGAGGGGCACAAAAUUCGGUUAUAUAUGUACCUCGAUCGGAGAGGCACGUAAGGUAUCUCUUGAGGUAUGGUUAGAGUUCACGUCACGCCGCACAACCUCGUGAUGAUGAACUCUGCUAACGCCAAGGAACGACUGUGUUUUUCAAACUAAAAAUAUGUUUAUGUGUAUACAAAAUUAUUUAACCGCCUUAGCAGACUCGGUUAAAUGCCUCGACCAAAGUAUUCCCGAGAAUGAUUUUGGCAGGAGCCAAGCUUUUGAGAUACUCAUAAGCCAUAUUGAUCAUUUAAAUGAAAUGAAUAUUUAUCUUAUGAAAUACAUACUGAGAUGGAAUAUUUUAAUUGUCUCAAUUUACUUGACUUUAGAUAUUUUGAAUGGUGUUUGUUUACUCACUGGGAUUAUAUAAUCUCAUGACCCUCUUUUCCACCCAUUUCAGGCUCAGAAUAGGCUGUAGAUAGCUGAUUUCAUCGAGGGCUAUCAUUGGAUUUGCAUCCUCCAAACUGUAGGUUCACAGUCUUUUCUUAUUUUUGGUUAUUCGAGGGCUCACUCAUUAUUGUAAAUUAAGUUAAAUACUCUGGCUUACUGUAUUACAGUAUGUAUGAAUUUAUUUAGUUUUUACGCUACAAAAACUAUUUACCGAUAACUUUAUAAAUAUUGUUUUAUAAGAAAAUAGAAUAUUUUAUUGAAUAUUUUUAUUAUAUUCAAA
rnacentral:lncRNA from 1 species